AUUGAACGCUGGCGGCAGGCUUAACACAUGCAAGUCGAGCGGAGAUGAGGUGCUUGCACCUUAUCUUAGCGGCGGACGGGUGAGUAAUGCUUAGGAAUCUGCCUAUUAGUGGGGGACAACAUUCCGAAAGGAAUGCUAAUACCGCAUACGUCCUACGGGAGAAAGCAGGGGAUCUUCGGACCUUGCGCUAAUAGAUGAGCCUAAGUCGGAUUAGCUAGUUGGUGGGGUAAAGGCCUACCAAGGCGACGAUCUGUAGCGGGUCUGAGAGGAUGAUCCGCCACACUGGGCCUGAGAAACGGCCCAGACUCCUACGGGAGGCAGCAGUGGGGAAUAUUGGACAAUGGGGGAAACCCUGAUCCAGCCAUGCCGCGUGUGUGAAGAAGGCCUUAUGGUUGUAAAGCACUUUAAGCGAGGAGGAGGCUACUGAGACUAAUACUCUUGGAUAGUGGACGUUACUCGCAGAAUAAGCACCGGCUAACUCUGUGCCAGCCGCCGCAGUAA
rnacentral:rRNA from 1 species